UGCAUGUCUCAGUACUUGCCUACCUAAGGCGAAACCGCGAAUGGCUCAUUAAAUCAGUCAUGAUUCAUUGGAUGUUGUCAAAUCCUUACUCGGAUAACUGUGGUAAUUCUAGAGCUAAUACGUGCAACUAAGCUCCGACCCUGCCGGGGCGUCCUUCGCGUCGCCUCGGUCGGGGGAAGGGCGCAUUUGUUAGACCAAAAACCGGGUGGAAAGUAAGCGCGCCUCGCGCGCGCCCAAAUCCUCCAAAUACGGUUAUGUGGUGACUCUGAAUAACUACAGCCGAGCGCUGAGGUCAUAGUACCGGCGCCGUAUCCUUCGAGUGUCUGCCUUAUCAGCUCUCGAUUGUAGGUUAUUCGCCUACAAUGGCUGUAACGGGUAACGGGGAAUCAGGGUUCGAUUCCGGAGAGGGAGCCUGAGAAACGGCUACCACAUCUAAGGAAGGCAGCAGGCACGCAAAUUACCCAAUCCCGGCUCGGGGAGGUAGUGACGAAAAAUAACGAUGCGGGACUCUUCCGAGGCCUCGCAAUCGGAAUGAGUUCAAUUUAAAUCCUUGGACGAGGAUCCAUUGGAGGGCAAGUCUGGUGCCAGCAGCCGCGGUAAUUCCAGCUCCAAUAGCGUAUAUUAAAGUUGU
rnacentral:rRNA from 1 species